UAAAAAUGAAAGAAUGAACUGCCAGACUGA
rnacentral:piRNA from 1 species